GUCUAUGCAUUCUCUUUCCCCAUAAAACAUAAACAACACUUUCCCGAGAAACAAACAAAACAAAGCUUUCAUUUUCCUUCCCAAACCAGCCAUGGCGCGAUCUUUCAAUCCCCAAACUCUGAUCUACACAUCUCCGCGGCCUCCGGUGAACUUCCCCUCCGACCAUCACCACUCCCUCACCUCCUUCCUCUUCCAAUCCUCCUCCUCUUUCCCUCACAACACUGCUCUGAUCGACGACGAUUCCGGCGAGACUCUGACCUUUCUCGAGCUCAAAACCCUAGUGUCCAACCUCUCCCACGCCCUGCGCAACGCCAUGGGAAUCAAGAAAGGCGAUGUCGUCCUCAUCGUCGCCGCGAACUCGAUCCGAUACCCCAUCUGCUUCUUCGCGAUCGCCGCUCUCGGCGCCAUUACCACCACCUGUAACCCCGCCUACACCUUCUUCGAGCUCUCGAAGCAAGUCAAGGACUGCAAUCCCAAGCUCGUCAUCACCGUCCCCGAACUGUACGAGAAAACCGCUAAAUUCAACUUGCCGGCGAUAAUUCUAGACUCCUCCAAAUCUUCCGAAAUUGUUCCGAACUCCAGAGUCUGGAGUUUCUCCGAUUUGAUCAAAACUACAGCGUUUUCAGACCGAUUAUCUAAUUUGCCGGCGAGCGACGUCACGCAGUCUGACGUGGCGGCGCUGAUGUACUCGUCCGGCACGACGGGGACGAGCAAGGGAGUGAUUCUGACGCAUCGGAACUUCAUUACGACGUCGUUGAUGGUAACCGCCGAUCAGGACUGGUACGGAGAGCCGAAUAACGUUUUCCUCUGCUUCGUGCCGAUGUUUCACAUUUUCGGGCUUUCGGUGAUCGCGUAUUCGCAGCUCCGGCGAGGGAACACGUUCGUCUCCAUGGCAAAGUUUGAGCUCGAGAAGGUUCUGAGGGCUGUGGAGAAGUACAGAGUGACGCAUCUGUAUCUUGUUCCGCCGGUUGUGAUUGCGCUGGCGAAGCAGAUCGGCGUCGUAAGGAAAUAUGACUUGUCGUCGUUGAAGAACAUCUUGUCCGGCGCAUCGCCGUUGGCGAAAGACGUGAUGGAGGGUUGCGCGAAGAACGUCCCGAAUGCUUUGGUCAUGCAGGGAUACGGUAUGACAGAGAGUUGUGGGAUUAUUUCGACGGAGAACAGCUGGGAAGGGACUCGCUUUUCGGGUUCAACUGGGAUUCUUGCUCCUGGAAUUGAAGCACAGAUAAUCAGUGUAGAAACAAUGAAGCCUCUUCCACCAAAUCAGCUGGGAGAGAUAUGCUUUAGAGGACCUAAUAUGAUGCAAGGAUACUACAACAGUCCACAGGCGACAAAGUCGGCCAUAGACAAGCAAGGUUGGGUACACACGGGAGAUCUUGGAUACUUUGAUGAAGAGGGACAACUGUUUGUUGUGGACAGGAUUAAAGACCUCAUCAAGUGCUAUGGUUACCAGGUGGCCCCAGCUGAGCUUGAAGGAUUGUUGCUUUCUCACCCUGAAAUAUUGGAAGCAGUCGUGAUUCCAUUCCCCGAUGAGAAAGCUGGUGAGGUCCCCAUUGCAUUCAUCGUUCGCUCGCCCAACAGCUCUCUAACCGAACAAGGUGUUCAGAGAUUUGUUGAGAAACAGGUUGCACCAUUCAAAAGAUUGCGGAGAGUGACCUUUGUAAGCAGUGUUCCCAAGUCAGCUUCAGGAAAGACUUUGAGAAGAGAACUUGUUCAAAAAGUCCGGUCCAAUAUAUGAAACCCCAAAAGCUAAUGUUAUUAUUGGGCCAUCUACUUCCACAAAAUUCACUGUUGGAUUGCUCAUCUCUAUAUACCCGGUCCAUAAAAUUUGGGCCACCAUCAACCGCACUUGUUGAUCAAUUUGGAAGAAUUGAUCAGUCUUCUUAUGUGAAACUUGAAAAGUUCUCACAAAAUAUCACAUCUCAACUCGAAUUGAAAACUCAAAUCCGUGAAGUGAACGAGGUCUGCAUCUCACAACAGGAGGAAUACCAUUUACUGGUAAAAUUAUUUAUCGGUCAAUAAUUGACUUGGAAUUAUGGGGAGAAUAAUUGCAUAGAUCUUCAAUUUAUGUAAAAGUUAAUUCUCUGUUCAAUAAUUCACAUCACUUUUUACGACCUACUUUGUGCAAUGGACCUCAUCUAUUGUUUGCAUUUUAGGUAGCAAACAGUCAUCCAGCUAACGAUUGCAGUACUAUUUGGGAAUAAUAUAAGUGGAUGAAAUUCACUCAUUU